GAUGAACGCUAGCGACAGGCUUAACACAUGCAAGUCGAGGGGCAGCACGGGAGUAGCAAUACAACUGGUGGCGACCGGCGCACGGGUGAGUAACGCGUAUGCAACCUACCUAUCAGAGGGGAAUAACCCGGCGAAAGUCGGACUAAUACCGCAUAAAACAGGGGCACCGCAUGGUGAUAUUUGUUAAAGAAAUUCGCUGAUAGAUGGGCAUGCGUUCCAUUAGGUAGUUGGUGAGGUAGCGGCUCACCAAGCCGACGAUGGAUAGGGGAACUGAGAGGUUGGUCCCCCACACUGGUACUGAGACACGGACCAGACUCCUACGGGAGGCAGCAGUGAGGAAUAUUGGUCAAUGGGCGGGAGCCUGAACCAGCCAAGUCGCGUGAAGGAAGAAGGAUCUAUGGUUCGUAAACUUCUUUUGCAGGGGAAUAAAGUGCAGGACGUGUCCUGUUUUGUAUGUACCCUGAGAAUAAGGAUCGGCUAACUCCGUGCCAGCAGCCGCAGUAA
rnacentral:rRNA from 1 species